UUCGACCACCACAUAAUAAACACGGAAAACCAUUGGACUUUUCGUCAUGUACCUGAAGGCAACAUUUGAUUAGAUGACCACGCGGGGCCUUUCAGUUAGUGUGCUUUAUAUGCCGAUUUUACAGUAGACCCACCGGGACGUUUUUUAAACCCAAACGUGCCCACCGAAACAUGCUUUUAAUGCUAACGCGCCCACACACAUACGCACGUCAUUGCCAAGCUAAUGUAAAAAGCCACAUUUACCUAAAUCAUCCAUGUUGGCCGGUCAAUGCUGUGAGAACCGCAAUGUUCCCGCUCCGUCGAGCACAGCUUGGACUGCCCGCGCCGAUGUCGCGUCCGCUCGGCCGACGUGCUGGCAAAAUGCGUUGAAGUUUUCAAGUUGCCCUCUCGCUCGGCGAGCUUCGAACACACUCCCGAGCACACUCAUCGCCAGACACCCCAGGCAGAGAGGAGUCUCCGGGAAGAUCCAACCCCCCUGCCUGCUCCCCGCCGGCCUUCGGUCCACGAGUGAACACAAGUCUGCCGACGCCAUCUUGUGGCAGAAUAAUUACGGACACCUGAGUGACAGUAAAGUGUGAGAUGGAUGAGAGCUCGCGGGGAGGAGGAAGACCGCAAUGGUUUGCAGUUGCCCCGUCCCAGCAUGCUCUUCGGCAGGAUCUAACCAUGGAAACAGAGCAGGUAUUCAUCCUUCUGAGGAGCUGUGGUCACUUGAAUAAUGGAUAUGGGGAAGCUGUGGGAGGAAGCAGCGAACACGGCAGAGGCUAACGUCACAUCGUUCUUAUCCAGGAACUCUGCAGGAGGAACACACAUCAGCUCAGACAGGUAUGAGUGACCUAGCAAUACUAGAAGUGUGACGCAUGACCAACCUUCUAACACAUACUGCUUCAUCUCAAUUUCAUAAAACUUGUUGGUGCCAAUGAUGACACUGUAGCCUGUAAAGUGAAUGCAGCUACAGGGCUCUGAGGUCUCAAUCUCCUGCAAACACAAUCAACAGUCGCAAUCAAUAACGCCCAUUUUCUUGCCUUUACUUGAGCUUUGCCACUCACCUUUCUGAUGCAGAACUUGUUGAGGCUUUCAUUAAGUCGCAGGAUUGUAAUCUUAUUAGGCAUAGCAGCACAAAUACAGAUUCCAUUGUCAAUCUGUGGAGAAGAGGAAAAAAACGACAGCUUCUCAACUCUCUUCAAUUGGAUAACUUUACUGUACAUAUCCCUUAUGAAAAAUGUAAAGUAACUGGCCUUUCCAGAGGAGAAGAGGUGGCAGCCUUUGACUGUCUCAAAGAUGAAGGGGCUGAGGUCAGGCGGAGCUGGGAGAUGAGACUGCGACAAAGACUGUUUGACCUUUUUGAUCUCCACCAAGCACAGGGCCCGAUCCUCUCCUGAAAGGCACAUUUUCAUGGUUUUGACUCACUUUUAGAUAAUGCAUCGUGGCCAAUUAUGCAAAUUUGACAAUUACACUAUUAUGUCAUGCCCCCCACCCAAAUAGACUGCGGUCUUGUGGGAAACAGUGAAAAGAAAAGAUACAUGACUCACCAUUGAGUAGUUGUAAAAAAAAAAAAAAGCCUUCAUUCACUCACCAGUAAUCAUCAACAGCUUGUCAAGCUCCCUCAGGAUCUGAAUCUGGAACACGGAGGUCAGGCCCGGAAUAUGGGUCAAAGAGUUCUUGAUAACGUUCAGAGCGUACAAGCCCUCCUCAGAGCCCACCAGCACGAGCUAAGGAGAAUGACGAUGACAGUCAUUGACGCGAAACCUGCAGCCGUUAAUUCCGCUCAAAAUAAAUGCUAAUGUGUGCGUUUGAACCUGGUCAGUGAGAGGCAGAGUGCAGUUGAUGUCCAAGCGGUCGUCACCCUCCAACUUCAGCAAGGAAUUGCCCAGAAGUUUCUAUAAGGACACCAAAGAUACGAAAGGAGGGAAAGUCAGGCAGGCUAUCGGCACAUCCAAAGCUUGAGGCCAAGAGUGACAGCCAGUUGCCUAAUUUCUCAAUUAAGAAUAUAAAGGAAAAGCUACUAGAUAAGUAUGUAGCCUAAACAGAAAGUCCCAUUUUACACACACUGCUGAUAUUAGCAAUUAUACUGGAUAUUUGUACUUUAUGCAAACACAGUGUUUGUUGCCAACUUGCAUGUUUCAGUAUUUCAAGCUGGUUUGUGGCCAGAUAAUGUUUCUCUGGUUAAUCCCAAAGCUUUAUAGCUGCAUAUAUAAUAGCAAUAACAGGAAAGGAAUCAAUGCAUGCUGUAAUGUGGACAGUUGAAGUGUUGGAGGUAAAUGUAUGUAAAUCCUCUUAUCUGUCUUUAUAUAGUUCCACUUAUAGGAAAUGUCAACCAAGCUUAAAUUAGCUGCAUCCUGCAAAUCUCUGCCACUGUCUGCUGAAAGACAUUCUGAGUUUAGAUGAACAUAUUUGUAUUUGAAAAGAAUGUUGAUCAUUUAUAUACUGAUUUCAUUUGGCUGUUUUUUGUUUUUUUUGCUAAGAGUGCACUUGUUUAGAUUUAGUUGUACAAAAUAUGGUAUAUCACAAUCUAAGACACACACAACAGAGCAGAAUUGUAUAGCUGAGGGCUGUGAGGAAUCUCCAGAAUUGAUUGGCCUGCCUGGCUGAAAGUCACAACUUCAUUUAAACUGUUUCCCCAAAAAUACAAUACAUUCAUAACAUGAAAAUAGUAUGAAGGCUUCAUCAAUGAAAAACAGCUGCACUGUUAGCAGUUCCAUUGGAACAAAAUUACAUUCAAAUUCAGACAUACUACGUCGAGUAAAUGAUGGUGGUUGCAUCCAAUUGGGUAAAUCCCAGUUCCACAAGAUUAACGGGUGGCUCAUCAUUCUUAAUUUGUUUCUUUCGGCGUUUUCCUGAUUUUGGAGUCGCCACAGUGGAUAUUAACAUUUUUCAUUGAACUUAUUUGCGUCUUUGACACUGUUUACGGUCUCACUACUCUUUAAAAAUAUUCUUACCGAAGGCGCCAUCAGGUAUUACUGUAUGUGUGUGUGUGGUUUCCAUGAAAAAGCUGAAGCAGCGCAUGGCUCUUGCAGCAACAUGCACAACACAGCAUCGUGUAGGCCAAAGGUGCAAAGAUGAGCCAAUUCGGACCCAUGCAUGGUGCAUGACAUAUUUUGGGUGUACGUUACUAUGGAACCAUUUGAAAUGAUUAGUUCUGUGUUACCCAGCACAGAACAGCGAUAGUGUUCUACGUGUGGACGGAUACAGCAACUACAUGCUCAGCCAGUUGGUCAUUGAAGCCCAAGCGUUCGUGCAGCUUCUUACUGUACCUGAACCAGAGGUGAUAGGUUCUUCUGUCUUUUAGAAACACCUGCCUAUAAUAGUCCAGACGACCGUGUUGAAUGGAGGUACACACACACACAUUUUAGAAUCACAUCACAACAAGGACGAUGACAACACACAAAUACAAGACAUGGUUGUUGAGAACAUGCAGAGAAAGAGAAAAGAGGAAAGGGGAGAACAACAAAUGAAGGCACCGGCUGAUGUUCAUGGCGGCAUUCAAUAUAUUUCAGCUAGUUUUCACAAGAAACAAUACACACAACCCUUGGGUUACAUUGCAGUUCCACAUGGGCCUAACACCUAAAACUCUUAUCCUUUUUUAAAAGCUACAAACUACAUAAAAAUACGACUAAAAUGCACUUACAGCAUCAGUAUCUCCUUUGUCUUUAGAGCCACGGUUACAAGCCACCACAGACUCCAGCACAGCCACCCAGCGCUGUUUGUCUGGGAAGCUGGGAGCCAUGAAGUAGAGAGACUGGCCUGGCCAACAAGUCGUGUGAGGAUGGGAUUCCAGCUUCAGAACAUAAGGGAUAUCUGUGUGAACACGCACACAAUACAUAUUUUGCAUAGUUUAGUAUCAUAAGUAAUGCUGACAACAGCGGAUUGAUAGUUGAUUGACACCUGAUUUUGCAGUGUUGAUGAGCUCAGAGGCUCCAACAGCUCCAUGAACGGUCACCUCUCCAUCAGGUAGGCAUAGCUCAAACUCCUCCUCUGCAUUCACGCAGUCUAAAAAGAAGACAUCACAUCAUUUGCACUAGUCACUGCUGUAUUGUUUUGAUGUUGGAAGUGAUCCCAAAUGUGGAAAUAGUGACCUUCUCUGGGCUCUGUAUCAUAGAUUGAUAUUUUGGUUCCAUCAAGAACCACAUACUUUCUCUCCCAGCCCUGCUGACCACGCUUGCCAUUUCUAUGUGAAGAAAGACAGAAAAGACCAUUUAAGAGUAGAGUAUCAGACACUACAAGGCCAGGAUGUCAGGACGAGUGAAUUAUUAACCUGGGCUGCUUCAUCCAUCCUUCCAAGCGGACAUGACCGCUGGCUUCCUUGACCUGUAGUCCAGGGGAGCUUGCCUUCUCUCUGCAUAAAGCCUCAGAAAAGUGGGUGGCAUAUUCGGCUGGCAGCCCACAAGUGGCUGGAAGGCAUGGUGAGCAUUUGGGAUGACAAAGCGUGUUACACUCUAUAAGCAGAUAAAGAAAAAAGUCAGUCAGACUAGCAUUCAUUUAACAAUCUUUACAAUGUAAACAUUACUUAUAGAACAACUGAGAGAGACGGACCACAAAUGUCCUCAAAGAGAAAAUCAUAUUCUGCAGAUUACAGGCUGCAAGUAAACGAGUAAUGUUACAUUUUUUAAGUUAUAGUUAUCUGAAUAACUGUUAAUGUUAUGUUAACAUACCACCGAUUCAUGCUAUGUUAACAGAUGCCUAUUUGGCCCGUGGAUCUCUAUUUUAUUGUUACGAUAACUUCUAUAACUUUCAAGAUGAAAUGUCUGUUCCUGGUCUCUGAUUUUAUAAAGAUGUAUUUCCCCACAAAAAUGCAACUUGUUGUGGAGUGCAACUUAUAUACGCAGUAUAUAGUUUUCUCUUCUUCAUAGUGCAUUUUUGCCUGGUGUGACUUAUUCUCUGGAAUGACUUAGCGUCCGGAAUAUACAGUAUUUUUACACUAUAAUGUUUCCAGGAAUGUUUUAAAAAAAAAUAAAAAUGACAUAAAAAGCCCACAUUGCAAAAAGCUAAAAUUAGAUGACUCUCUUUUUCAUGUAAGAUUAAAUGUGGAGGAUCUAUUUCAAAGCCUAUUGUUGAGGUUUUUUGAAGACCGGCCAAUAAAUCCCUUUCUGAAAUACCAUCGGUUGUGUGCGACCACAGGACACAGACCUAGACAAGUGGCAGCCUGCCGUCCAAAAUGCACGGUGUCCAGGCAGACGGCACAUUUGGCAGCCCUCAUGUUGAG